GCCUCAUUUCAGAAAACCCCCUACCCAGCUUUCCAAAGACCAGUCGUUUCUCCUUCCUUAGGCAUUCGAGAAAAUGAUUAAAAUCAAGACUGUGUCUUUAAUGCAUUUGCGCCUUUGUCUGGUAAAACUCUUGCUCCUUCUUCUUCUUUAAGGUCGUUCUAGAUCUCUGGCAUCUUUUUCAGCCACUGUUGUCAUCAAUCUUGGCAGUUGUCCUUCCAGGUAGGUGUUCUUAUUAAGUUUCAAAGCUUCUAGGGCUACUGCAUGUGCAGUUUCAUUCCAUUUUCUGUAUAUCUAUUGAAAUCUGCACUCGUUAUAACUUUUGCUUAGUGUUUUAAUGUCAAAAAUAUAUUAAAUUAAAAUUGAUUUGUCUUUUUCGUUGUUUUGAAUUUUCUUAAUGAUGUUGAAGGCGUCUCCUUCUACCACCACCUUUUGUAAUCCCAUAUCUAAGCUCGUCUUUACUGCUUGUAAGUAGGGUAAUGCCUUUGUUACAAGCAGAGUAGGGAUUCGAUUAUUAACUACCGUUGUACAGUUGAGGAUCUUUCCUUCUGAGUCCUUGGAAAUUAUGACAGUUCCUGAUUUGGAAGUUUGUCUGUAAAAAGCCCCGUCAAAGUUUAUUUUGAUUUCAGACGGUUUUGGUGGUCUCCACCAUUCUUCUUCUAUUCUCUGACCGGGAUCUUGUUUCUCCUCAUCCAUAUCGCCCAGAUGCUACAGAAAAUAGUCUUACUGUACAUAUUUGUCAUUCUAGUGAGCAACUUUUUAAUCCACUGUCGAUAUCUCUCUUCCUCUUCCCUUUGAGUUACUUGCAUCCCUAGCUCCUUCUAGAUAUUUCUGACUGCAGUGCAAUCCCUGAAGGCAUCUUCCAUUGAUUCUGUACCUCCUUUACAGCAAGGGCAUAAUGUUGUGUUGCAAAUCCAUUUGUAAUGCAAAUUACCCAUUGUUGGAAUAUAUCCAUUAUACACUCUCCAAUUUGUAAUUUUUAUUUUCCCUGUAAAAUCUGUCUGCCACAAUUUUUUGUAGAAAAUUUUGUUUAUGUCUACCGAAAUUUAUAGCAAUGUCUAGGUUAGAUUU